rnacentral:rRNA from 1 species
AUUGAACGCUGGCGGCAGGCCUAACACAUGCAAGUCGAGCGGCAGCGGGUCCUUCGGGAUGCCGGCGAGCGGCGGACGGGUGAGUAAUGCCUAGGAAUCUGCCUGGUAGUGGGGGAUAACGUUCGGAAACGGACGCUAAUACCGCAUACGUCCUACGGGAGAAAGUGGGGGAUCUUCGGACCUCACGCUAUCAGAUGAGCCUAGGUCGGAUUAGCUAGUUGGUGGGGUAAAGGCUCACCAAGGCGACGAUCCGUAACUGGUCUGAGAGGAUGAUCAGUCACACUGGAACUGAGACACGGUCCAGACUCCUACGGGAGGCAGCAGUGGGGAAUAUUGGACAGUGGGCGAAAGCCUGAUCCAGCCAUGCCGCGUGUGUGAAGAAGGUCUUCGGAUUGUAAAGCACUUUAAGUUGGGAGGAAGGGCAGCUAGUUAAUACCUGGUUGUUUUGACGUUACCAACAGAAUAAGCACCGGCUAACUCCGUGCCAGCCGCCGCAGUAACAC